UACAUGGGGUGCAAACGUUGCUCGGAAUUAUUGGGCGUAAAGCGCGCGUAGGCGGUUACUCAAGUCGGAUGUGAAAGCCCUCGGCUUAACUGAGGAAGUGCACCCGAAACUGAGUAGCUAGAGUACUAAAGAGGGUCGCGGAAUUCCCGGUGUAGAGGUGAAAUUCGUAGAUAUCGGGAGAAACACCGGUGGCGAGGGCGGCGACCUGGGUAGAUACUGACGCUGAGGCGCGAAAGCGUGGGGAGCAAACAGG
rnacentral:rRNA from 1 species